UACAGAGGUCUCAAGCGUUGUUCGGAUUCAUUGGGCGUAAAGGGUGCGUAGGCGGCGCUUUAAGUCGGGUGUGAAAUCUUGGAGCUUAACUCCGAAACUGCAUUCGAUACUGCCGUGCUUGAGGACUGGAGAGGAGACUGGAAUUUACGGUGUAGCGGUGAAAUGCGUAGAUAUCUGGAGGAACACCGGUGGCGAAGGCGGCAUCCUGGACCAACACUGACGCUGAUGAGCGAAAGCCAGGGGAGCAAACGGG
rnacentral:rRNA from 1 species